UUCGACUGUUUAUCAAAAACAUUUUUAAUAGAUUCAUUAUUAAUAAAAUCUGCUCAAUGUUAUUAAAUAGCCGCAGUUCCCUGUGCUAAGGUAGCGCAAUCAUUUGUCUUUUAAUUAAAGACUAGAAUGAAUGAUUUUACAUUUAAUAUUAUUUUUAAUAUAUAUUAAAAUAAAAUUCCCCUUAAUGUUAAAAGGCAUUAAUAAAUAAAAAAGACGACAAGACCCUAUUGAACUUAACUUUAGUUAAGCUGGGGUAGCUAAUAAAUUACAACUUUAACAUUUUAACUAAAAUGACCUAAUAAAAUUAAUAAAAUAAUCAAGUUACCAUAGGGAUAACAGCGUAAUAUAUUUUUAAAGCUCUUAUUAAAAAAUAAGAUUACGACCUCGAUGUUGAAUUAAUUAAUCUAUUUAGUGCAAGAACCUAAAAAGAAAGUCUGUUCGACUUUUAAUAAAUUACAUGAUUUGAGUUCAGACCGGUGUAAACCAGGUCGGUUUCUAUCU
rnacentral:rRNA from 1 species